UAGGUAAUCUUCCGCAAUGGGCGAAAGCUUGACGGAGCAACGCCGCGUGAGUGAUGAAGGUCUUCGGAUCGUAAAACUCUGUUAUUAGGGAAGAACAAAUGUGUAAGUAACUAUGCACGUCUUGACGGUACCUAAUCAGAAAGCCACGGCUAACUACGUGCCAGCAGCCGCGGUAAUACGUAGGUGGCAAGCGUUAUCCGGAAUUAUUGGGCGUAAAGCGCGCGUAGGCGGUUUUUUAAGUCUGAUGUGAAAGCCCACGGCUCAACCGUGGAGGGUCAGUGGAAACUGGAAAACUUGAGUGCAGAAGAGGAAAGUGGAAUUCCAUGUGUAGCGGUGAAAUGCGCAGAGAUAUGGAGGAACACCAGUGGCGAAGGCGACUUUCUGGUCUGUAACUGACGCUGAUGUGCGAAAGCGUGGGGAUCAAACAGG
rnacentral:rRNA from 1 species